GCGGCGGUUGUGGUUUCUAGUGUUGUCUAUGUGGACGACAGUGGGCGGGGAGGUAGCGGGGGACGGUGGGGAAAGGGUGGCGGACUGGGAAACGAGAAGGAGCUUGAGGAUAGCCCGGACCCUGUAGGCCGACCAAGCCCUCGGAUGUCCAGCCCUUGCCUAGACUUGACUUCGACCCUGAGCGUUUGAACGUUUUUUUUCCCCGAGUCUCAAACCCACAGCUUCCCGCAGGUCCGUCGUGAGCCGGCUACAGAUCUUGAACCUAAAUCAGUCUCAAUCUGGAGGACCCGAUGGUAAAGCCGCUCUUGGUCUAUCUGAACUGCUUAGCAGUAAAGCAGAAUAUACGUCCCCCAACAUAU